UACGGAGGAUGCAAGCGUUAUCCGGAAUGAUUGGGCGUAAAGCGUCCGCAGGUGGCGAUGUAAGUCUGCUGUUAAAGGGUGAGGCUCAACCUCAUAAGAGCAGUGGAAACUACAUAGCUAGAGUGCGGUAGGGGCAGAGGGAAUUCCUGGUGUAGCGGUGAAAUGCGUAGAGAUCAGGAAGAACACCGGUGGCGAAAGCGCUCUGCUAGGCCGCAACUGACACUGAGGGACGAAAGCUAGGGGAGCGAAUGGG
rnacentral:rRNA from 1 species